UUAAUGAGAGUUUGAUCCUGGCUCAGGACGAACGCUGGCGGCGUGCCUAAUACAUGCAAGUAGAACGCUGAGGUUUGGUGUUUACACUAGACUGAUGAGUUGCGAACGGGUGAGUAACGCGUAGGUAACCUGCCUCAUAGCGGGGGAUAACUAUUGGAAACGAUAGCUAAUACCGCAUAAGAGUAAUUAACACAUGUUAGUUAUUUAAAAGGAGCAAUUGCUUCACUGUGAGAUGGACCUGCGUUGUAUUAGCUAGUUGGUGAGGUAAAGGCUCACCAAGGCGACGAUACAUAGCCGACCUGAGAGGGUGAUCGGCCACACUGGGACUGAGACACGGCCCAGACUCCUACGGGAGGCAGCAGUAGGGAAUCUUCGGCAAUGGACGGAAGUCUGACCGAGCAAC
rnacentral:rRNA from 1 species